CAUGACCGUGUCACUAUUUUCAACCCAAAAACCCUAAUUUUUUUACUUCGUAACCUUCCUCUCCCACUCUAGCCGUCGCCAAUCUCCUGCCCCUUCACCGUCGACCAACACACAAUUUUCCUUCCCCUUCCCUUUCACUUCUCCCUUCUCCCUUUCCACCAUCCACCACAUUCACAUGACCAAACAACCUUUCCCCCUCGCCGAACCACCACGACCAUCCCCUCCCUAUCAUCCACUGCCUCCCUCGUCAUUCCCCUCUUUCCUUUCAAUGUCGCUACCCCUAUUCCCUUCCCCCCUUCUUCCUUCUCCCUUCGACAACACAACCCCCAACCCUGAUUUUCCUCUUCCCCCUUAUAGCACCCCCACCGCACAAACACCCCGAUGCCCUUUCCCUCUUCUUUUCGUUCCCCUCACGAAGCAUUCCCGUCGCCA
rnacentral:lncRNA from 1 species